GUAAUAUUUACCUAAAUGUAGUAGAAGCAUAGACAAUAUCAAUCUGAAAGUUGGAUUUCAUUACUUAGUGCUAUUAAAAUGCAAUGCAUUAGAAUGCUGAUAUGUUAAAUCUCUACUGCCUGCUCACUGAUGGAACACAAGUGAAGAGAGAGGCCACAUGGCAUGGCUCUGAGGAGUCAGCCUCACCAUACCCAAAGCAAAAUAAGCACUGUGGUAGCAAUGGUAUUGGGAGAACAAUUGGACUAGAUGAUCUUGUAGGUCCUUUCCAACCUUGCGAUUCUACGAUGCUAUGAACUAGCUAAUACUUAACUUGCUCAAUUGUCUAAUUGGCAACUUAGUAUUAUGAAGAGAAAUCCUUUCAUCUUAACUUCCAUCAGAAGCAUUUUUAAUUACAUUUUUUGAUAGGCUCUUUGCCUUUCUAAAGCCAUCACUUCCAAAGGCAUAAUAAAAACAUAAGGUCAGAUUAAAAUGACAAGUAUGGUUGUUGCAUCUCUAUAGGCGGCUUUCUUAUAAUCUUAUUUUGUUGUACGUAAAUAUUAAAUCAAUAAAUAUUUUUCACAAUAAAAAACAAUAUAGAAAACAGGAGGAAAAGCUGUUAUCAGAGAGCGUUUUAAUUCAUAAUAUGUGGAAAAAAAUAAACAAGUACAGACCAUAAAAGCAUAAAGCACUCCAAGAAAACAUGCAGAAACAUGUUUCUUCCUUACAGGUAGGUACAGAUCCGACUGUUCAAUCAUGACCUAGUUUUACCUCUCAAGGUCCGCAGCUUUUUGAAGACCACAUGUUCUUCUGAUGCUUACAGGGGUUGUCCCAAGCAACCAGAUAAAACAGGGACAUUUAAAGGGGCCUAUCCUGUUCAUGCUAUAGCCUCUGAAGCACAAAAAGAAAAUAGACUUCAUAGAGUGUCCUGCUUAUGGAGAAAUGCAUUGCCUGACGCAGGAAAAUACGUGGAAUUCUUCACAACUACUUUUUGUAGCAAAGAAACAAGACUGCUAUAAUUAUGCAUAAUCAUGAUGAUUCUUCAUUUUGGUUCAGACAGUGGAAUGUCUUGCUUUGAAUACAACAAGUAAUAUUAAUUUAGAUUUCUUUAUAAUUUCAUGGGAAAAUAUCCUAUGGCACCAACUUGUGUGAGAGGCAACAGGGACUAUGCUACUGAGUGGUUAUGACUUAAUUACGGUAGUAAACAGAGACCCCAUUCAAAAAUCAGGAUCUUCUUCUGAUGUGGAUGUCCAAAUAUAUAGGAAAGCACUUUGUCCAGAUUAGAGGUCUGCAAAUUAUCCUACUCAGAAUCAUUGGAAAGUGCCUUGAGAGCCCUGCGCACAGCAGCCAGGCAGAGAAGGAUAGGUUACAAAGAACAUAACAAAAGCACAGGUUCUGUCAGCAUAAACCUUGCUCUUUCUCUCCAAAAAAAAAAAAAAAACUUGAUACCUUCCCUACUCUUUCCUGCCUUAAAAGACUGUAGUGUAUGUUUUCCUGUUGAGUGAGGCAAGUUCUACAAGUUCCUUUCUGCCCCGACUUUACCUGUUCAGCUUUCUCUGCAGGUACUUGUGGCUUCUUUGUUUUCUUGGUUUACUAUUUUCAAAACCCCUUCCACAGUAUUUUAGCCCUUUGCCAUGGUUACUGCGUUCUCCUCUCCUGCAGCAGGGUUAAGAUGCCCUUCACAAGGGGAUCUGCUGAUUUCUCUGUGCUUCCCAGCCUCUCUCUUCUCCACCCAAAAACUCCCAGCUGCCAGGGGGCUGCUGCUCUCAAACACCACUGGCACUUUGAGAAGCUUUAACUUUCUUGCUCUGGGACUUAAGGAUGGAAAAAUAUGUUAAAGGAUCCCUAUCCAAAGUAUUUAGCCCCCCUCCCUUCAAACAGAUAGGGGACAGAAAAGAAAUAUCCUCCCCUAUACUCUGUAAAGAAAGUAUUUUGAAGAACAAAGUAACAUACAAUUACUUAGGAAUGAUAAAUGCAGAAUAAAUUAUUUACCCAUGAGAACCAUUGCUAAUGUGUCUUUUGUGAUAUUUUGUGAUAUCUUUUGUAAUGUGUCAUCCAGAUCCUGUCCUGUGCCAAACUCAAAGGAAUGUAUAUGGCUAAUUAUACGCUUUUCUUUGCAUUUAAAAUGUGCAAUCUUGUGGAAGCACGUAAGCAAAGUGUUUUCUUUAAGGCAGCUAAAGUAUUAACAUCUUUAAAAAUAGGAGAAAAACUCAGACCCAGUAUCACUGACGGCAAAACCUCUUUUGAGGUGUGAAGUAGGACUUUAUUUCAGACCUUAUAACAGUAUUUUCCAUCUCAAAGGUUUUAUGACCUUUGCCCCAAGUGUGUGUGCUCAGGGGAUUAGAAAUCUUAACUGUGGUUUGCCUGUUCAGUAAUGCCCAGCUAAGGCCCCAGCUGAUUUAGACAUGCUCAUAUCCUUACAUCCAACUCUACUAGUGAAAAUGAGAUCUAAUGUCCCAGCAAAAGAUAACAUCAACAAAGUGUGCUUCUGAACUGUAUUAGCUUUGUGAAUUGGUCGUAAGUUUGCAGUACAAAGGAAGAGAGCAAGUAAACAGAAUGGGAUUGGAGAGGUGAUGAAAGGAAGCACGAAAAGGAUACAAAAGAAAUAAAGGCAGCAUGAGAACAAAGGUGUAUUUUGUUUAAUCAUAGAAUAAUUUUUAUUCCAUUAAAAAUAAAGUAGCCAGAAGGUAAGAAUUACAGAAGAAAGAGAUCAGAGGACAAAAUAAGCUGCUGUCUCAAGUGAUCUACACCUAAAAUCACAUAAUUCUCAAAUUAAAAUGUUGCACAUGGCCAUAACACAACUAAGUGCAAAUAUUGCCCCUAACAAGGUCAGACAUCUGUAUGGCUCUAUAUUUUCUACUAGAGACCUUGAUUGAUUGUCUUUGCCAAAAGUCAUUUGAGAGGAAUUACAGCACUGGGAAACAAAAGAAAUGCUUGAAAAAUAUUUUUAAGUAGACAUUAAUUGGUUCAUAUAUUACCUGGUAAUAGAUCUGCCCCUUGCACAAAGUGGAAUGAAUGGAGAUCUCUCAUGCAAAUGUGAUGAUUAACAUGGUAAUACCUAGUACCAAUUAGAAAGCCUUGUAUAUCACACUUCUGACAAAAACCUGUGUGUUUCACAUGAAUAUAGUCUUUUAAGAUGUAUUUUGAAAGCUUCACAGGAAGUAGUAUAUUUAUUUCAACUAUUAUUAGAAAAUUAGCCCAAUAUUUCAGAUAUCAAAGUGAGUAUAAGACUCAUCUUGGAAAAAAUGCAGAUGGAAUUUAAAGAUCUGAGAUAAAAAGAAAUUGCUUGAGAACACUCUUUGAUGAAUGAACUUGAUCUUGAUGAACUAGUGAUGCAACUGUCAGAAACACUGAACAUCCACUAAUAUCAAAGUACAUUCUGCCAAUGGCAUCUCAGAUUCUGUAGCUGAGACGAAAAAGAUUUUACAUUGAUAUUUGCAUUACAACUACUAGGAAUAGCCACUUCUUUAUACUACUGAGGAUUAGUACAUUCUUCUUGGCUAGCACCAUAUUUCUCCUAUCUUUGGCAGACAAAUAUAAGCCAAAAAUAGAACUGCAAAAAAUUAAAUAGUUUAAGUUUGUUUCUUGGUUUCCUUUUUCAGAAGCAAAGUAGUUUUCACUAUUUAUUGCAUGACUUUUUUCCAUAUAUCUACAUCUGUAAAUGCAAUACUAUAGUUUUCUUUUAUCAUAAUUUGUUGUAAUGAAAGGUUACUGGUAAAACACUCCUUCAGAGGUUUAGCUUUGUCUUGCAAGUGUGAGAAAGAGGCACUGGGGACACACAUGGUUAAAGAACAUCUACUGUAAUCCUCUGAGACCAGAAUAACUGCUCUUUUAUGGCACUAGUAACUAAAGACUCUGAGAAGAAAUCAUAGCCCUUGAAGGCUCAAACUCUGGAAAAUUCCAGAAACUACUGAUAAAGAAGACUCUAAUGUACAUCUGGAAGCACUGCUAUUUAAAAGCAAGACCAAAAGAAGAUUUUCCUUCUAAAAAUAGAUAGUACUGAUGUAUUUGGCAUAUUUAAAAGUUGUCAGCAAUCUAAGUAAAGCAGGAUAGUUGUGAAACUGUUGGAUUACGUUUUAAAUAAAAUGAGACUUACAAAAGUCAAGUGUUUUCAACUUGAAGGUUUAGAAGUACUCUGUAGUUUAUACAGCUAAAAAGAUAAGUUUUAGCAGGAACACUUUUGUCUUUUACAAGGUGCUACAGUGAAGCAUGUUUUUGGUAUAAAAACAACUAAAUUUUUUUUUAAAGUUAUUUUAGAAGGCUCCUAGUUUGCUAUUGAAUGAAAAGGAAACAAGAGAGAAAUUAAGUCCUCAAAGAAGUAGAUCCCAGCAAGAAUCUGCCAUAGAAUUGGUACUUGAAUUAUGCACAAGGCUGAACAGUGCUCUAACACCUUAAAUACCAUCAGGUGCUCAAAAUAUAAGAGAACAAAUACAUUAGAUGCAGAAAAGAAGGCAGAACUUGAAACCAUAGCAAUGCAAAUAAAAUAGACAAAAGCUGAAAGUUAAGCAAAAACUUGUAUUAACUUGUCAAAUGCUGCAAGCACCAGGAAUUUGAGCCAUGAGCAAACUGCAUGAAGCAGUCACAAUCAGAGAUAUUGACACAGUAGAAGGGCAAUACAAGAAUGGAACAGCAAAGGGACCAGCGCAGACAAGAUAGUAUUCCAAAGAAAAUGAAAAGGUACUCACCUGCCUCCAAAGAUCAAAACUCACAAGAAAGACUCCACAAGAAAGGAAUCUCUAACUAAAGAUCCUUCCAGAGGGGCAGUCAGCCCUUAAAUGGCAUCUAAGAGAGGUGCAGCCAGGCUCCACCCCUUCUGGUCACACAUGAAUUGCCUUCACCUGUGCUCCCAGGGCUGACCCGGUCCUUUCCCCAGGUGCUCAAUCAGUGGUUCAGGCCGUGACUCAACAGUUACCAUACAGAUGCUAACACCUCUGGCUGAGAUGGCUGUUCUUAAAUGAAGGAAGGAAACUUGGAGAAGCAAUAACAGUAUGAUAUAAGCACGAGAGCAAAUGGAACAUGUUUUAUGUUCGAUUAGACAUACGUAAACAACUGAUAUUAUUUCCAGGAACUAAAAGAAAACCAACUGGUUGUAGAAAGAUAUAUAAGUAAAGGCAGAUAAGUAAAACUCAGUUUGUAUUUCCCCAGAAAAUGGAUUGUGUUUCUGUCAAAAAAAAAAAAAAAAAAAAAAAAGAAUCUAGCUAUGAGUAGUAAACCAGUCUCUUUUUCUAUUUUUAGGUAACGCUACUAAAGAUGUUACAGCUGAAGUGCUGAUUAUGCAUUUUAAAGCUUUUUAGUGAGACUUUUUUUACCCAGUGCAGUGAUGUGUAACUGGGAGGCACAGUUUACAGGACAUACAUUUGAGGAGAAUACAGCAAAGCUUCGACUUAGGUCUGUCGCUACUACAGAUAAAUCUGACCUGGUUUAGUACCAGACCUGGAGGUUGGUGGCCCUGCCUGUGACAGGGGGUUGGAACUUGAUGACCCUUGUGAUGGGUCCCUUCCAACCCAAGCCAUUCUAUGAUUCCCUGAUUCUACGUGUAGCGGAAAUGCUAAGUCAUGGCUUGAAACAGUGAUUGAUCAUGUGGUGGGAAGGCUGGGCCAACCCAGGGGAGCUCAGGUGCAUGCAAAGCAUCUGAGUAACAGGAAGGGGUGGAGCCUUCCCUUUCCAGACCUUAUUUAAGGGUUGGCAGUGGGCACAAAGGAGUGUUUUGCUGGAGACAUCUGUUAACCUGAGCACUUCUAAAGAGACAAGCUCUGUAUAUGCAAGUCGUCUGUCAAGCAGUUGCAUUAGAAAUUGUAUCUUGAAGUAAAGAGGAUCCUUUUGGAGAACUCCAUCUCCAGGAUAACCACUAAUAACAUGGGACAACACAGAAGAAUUUAUUUGGGGCUGUUCUCAUUAUCAGGAACUUUUCAGUACAGUUUGAAUGAUCUUUGCUUUCCAUUCUAUUAAUACCAAUAUGCCCACUGAAUGUAUUCAACUUUCUCCUUUCCUAUGUAACCACUGAAAGAGUAAGCAUAUCCUGACAGCAAUGCUUAUGUAAUAAUUAGCUAUAACUGUUUAUCAAAUGAGUGCAAAGAUAACUUUUUGCAUCAGCUUCUGUGUUGCUGAUUGAAAGAAGUUUUCUGUUCAACACUUAGAUGGCUAUUUCUAGAACAUACAGCUAUGAUCAAACCAAAGUGAAUAGCUUCAAAAUAUAAUGCACAGAUGUCUCCAAUACAGUGCUCCAACCAGAAUUUUAUAUAUAUAUAUUGUAAAUACUAGCAGUUAACAGAAAUCAAGUGGUGAUAACAAGCUCAGACAUCAGGCGAGUUUUCAUGUCAAAAGAUGCCACACAGUGAUGUCAUGCUGCAUCACCAAGAUUAAAAGAAAAAUAGGUGGGAGAUGUAUCUUAAGGUUAACAUCUCAAAAGAAGCAUUGCUGUUUUGUGAGCUGAGCAGUGAUACAUUCCUAGAAGAAUUCAGUAGAAUGAACUUGGGAACCAAGCAGUGGUAUAAAUCCUUACUUUUGUUGGAGCAGAGGAGACAGAUGAAGCAAUGAGUCUUUCAUCACCACACCAUCAGAGAGACUGAUGCUGCUGUUAAAGUAUGUGAAUCUGCUUCAAUUUUUGAAGUUCACAAAAGAGAUUUGGGGAACAAUAUAUCUUUAAAACCUGGAAUGAUGAAGAACAGAGACUGAAAUGUGAAGCAUUAUUCUAAUGAACAUGGGUGACAGAAUACAGCUUACCACGGACUAUGCGGUAUUUCUGCUUUUCUAUAUCAAGUUUUCUAUGUCCCCACUUUUCUUAGAAGAUAACUUUAAAGGCCUUUUUACAGCAUCUCCAAAUCAAUAGAUGCAGCUCACGUCAAAUAAUUAAAUUGCUUAAUUCUAUCUGAGCAUUUGAUAUGUUAAAGACAUCUUAUUGAUCUUACAGUUUCCCACAUUCCAUAACUCUACAAUAAAUUCACUUACCCAUUUGGUACCUCACUAGUAUUCAUAUUAUUUUUCUCUUACGCUCUAAUUGCCCAUGCAUAAUGUGUUUUCCCUCCUGUUAUCUAAACAAUAUUGUAAGAACAGCUCUUAGAAAAUGAAAAUUAUGCUUAUGAACUAUAAUAAGGUAUACUCUGUGAUACUGUGAAGUUAUCUAAAUGUAUUUCUUCAGAGAUAGUAGUUAAACCACAAACUCUUUGCCUAAACUCCCUUAGGGUUCAAGUGAUCUUCAUUAAGACAGCCUAUUUUACUUCCACAGUGGGCUAAAUUCAAUUGAAUUAAUGUCACUUUUAAUUCUGAAGUAAAACAUACAGAGGCAUUUUUAUAUAUCUUCAUCUACUUAAAUUUAAUAGGUGUAAUUAACUGGAGAUAUCUGUAAAAUUUCCUUUUUUUUUAAGGUAUUUUUUAAAUGACUUAUUUUUGUUUUAAUUUCAUCCUGCAGAAAGUGAAGCAAUCUCAAUAUAGAGUAAGAACAAACAUUAGCAUAUUGCUGAUCACACUUAAGUUACAGUAAGUAGGCAAAUAAUAAAGACUCAAAUACAUAGAAAAUGUUUUAAUAUGGCUUGUUAAUCAACUAUGCAUUUGAAUAGAUUUGGCUACACAAGUAAUAUUUCUAGUCAUCUUUGUGACAAGUCUGGAGCUACAUCAGACAUCUAUACCAUCAAUUUUCAUUGAAGUUGCAGCCUUUCUGUAAUUCACAUACAGUAAACCAAAUCUUGCUAACCUACUAAAUAGCUGCACCUUUUGUUUUUGCGUUGUUGUAUAUUGUCUCUAGUUUUUAGUACACAAGCAAGUGUUCAGAGGUGCAGUGUAUCAAGAUAAUACAAAGUAUCAUGCUUUUCUUGACUACGAAAUCCAUCAUGGGUGCAAAAUCUUCUUGAACGCCUGUGUAGAAAUGUGAAGGACUUCACAUGUUUCCUUAUCCACACUGAGAGAAGUGAACCCAAUGGCAGCAGUGUACACAAAAGGACUGAGUCAGUUACAGAGGCCAAUCAGUAAGAAGUUUCCUUAACUGCUGCUAGUAAUUCACUCCAAAUCAUAAACUGGCAGGCAGUGUCUUCUACAAAGAAAGAAGGAUCUGCGGGACAAUAAUAAGCAACUGAAAAGGUGCUGCUUGACUGAUAGAGAGAGAAUAUGCCCCUUCUCCCAAAUGAUUCUAUGAGAUAAAGGACAAAAACAGAGCAGCUGGACUUACCAUUCAGUAAGUCUGUAGUUUGCCUCUGUUUAAAAAUAAAUAAAUAAAUGCCUUCUCUGUGGGCCAUUGAUCACAAGGGAGCACCC
ensembl:lncRNA